rnacentral:rRNA from 1 species
CCUACGGGUGGCAGCAGUGAGGAAUAUUGGUCAAUGGGCGUAAGCCUGAACCAGCCAAGUCGCGUGCAGGAUGACGGCCCUAUGGAUUGUAAACUUCUUUUAUACGGGGAUAAACUUAGUCACGUGUCAUGUUUUGUAUGUACUUUAUGAAUAAGCACCGGCUAACUCCGUGCCAGCAGCCGCGGUAAUACGGAGGGUCCGAGCGUUAUCCGGAUUUAUUGGGUUUAAAGGGUGCGUAGGCGGCCUGUUAAGUCAGCGGUGAAAUUCUGUGGCUCAACCAUAGAAUUGCCGUUGAUACUGGUAGUCUUGAGUGUGUUUGAGGCAGGUGGAAUGCGUGGUGUAGCGGUGAAAUGCUUAGAUAUCACGCAGAACCCCGAUUGCGAAGGCAGCUGACCAAGCCACGACUGACGCUGAGGCACGAAAGCGUGGGGAUCGAACAGGAUUAGAUACCCGGGUAGUC